rnacentral:rRNA from 1 species
CCCUUAGAUGUCCGGGGCUGCACGCGCGCUACACUGAAGGAAUCAGCGUGCUAAAACCAUUGUCGAAAGGCAUUGGUAAACCCAUUAAAAUCCUACGUGAUUGUGAUCGGGAAUUGCAAUUAUUUCCCUUGAACGAGGAAUUCCCAGUAAGUGUGGGUCAUAAGCUCGCGUUGAUUACGUCCCUGCCCUUUGUACACACCGCCCGUCGCUGCCCGGGACUGAGCCGUUUCGAGAAAAGCGGGGACUGCUGCUGUCGGGGCUUUCGGGCCUUGGCUUCGGUGGAAACCGCUUUAAUCGCAGUGGCUUGAACCGGGCAAAAGUCGUAACA